CUGACCUAACUGGACAGAUGGCGAUGGAGGAGGAGGCUGUGCUGACACAUUCGGCUGAGCUCCUGCCUGUGCUUCCCAGCAGCUGCCCACACCAGCCACAGGGAUCACGCCCAACCUGCCUGGAGCACCGGUGAGACGUACGGAGCCAUAAGGAGAGACUUCUGCAUUCUGGUGACCAACUGACUCCACCUGGACCCGUGAUUCCUGACUCAACAGGUCCUGUGGCCCCCACCCAGAAGUUGACUUAGCACAUGAGGACCAUUUUCCACAUCCCUAUGACUUCAUCCCCAGUCAGCAUCAUCCAUUCCCUAGCCCCCUGCCUGACAAUUUAUCCAUAAAAACUCUAGCCUCUGAAUUCUCAGGGAGGUUGAUUUGAGUAAUAAACUCCAUCUUCCAA